GGAAUAAGAGGUUACUAACUCUGUGCCAGCAGUAGCGGUAAUACAGAGACCUCAAGCGUUAUCCGGAUUUAUUGGGCGUAAAGCGCAUGUAGGCGGAUAUAUUAGUCAGAUGUCAAAUCUUCGAGCUCAACUCGAAAACUGCGUUUGAAACGGUAUAUCUUGAGAAAGUGAGAGAUCAAUGGAACAUAUGGUGUAGCAGUGAAAUGCGUUGAUAUCAUAUGGAACACCAAAGGCGAAGGCAUUUGAUUGGCACUUUUCUGACGCUGAGAUGCGAAAGCGUGGGUAGCGAAUGGGAUUAGAUACCCCAGUAGUCCACGCCCUAAACGAUGCAGACUAGGUAUUAGGAGAAUCGACCCUCCUAGUGUCGUAGCUAACGCGUUAAGUCUGCCGCCUGGGAAGUACGAGCGCAAG
rnacentral:rRNA from 1 species